rnacentral:rRNA from 1 species
CUAAGAAUAUUCCGCAAUGGACGGAAGUCUGACGGAGCGACGCCGCGUGGAUGAAGAAGGCUGAAAAGUUGUAAAAUCCUUUUGUUGAUGAAGAAUAAGGGUGAGAGGGAAUGCUCAUCUGAUGACGGUAAUCGACGAAUAAGCCCCGGCUAAUUACGUGCCAGCAGCCGCGGUAACACGUAAGGGGCGAGCGUUGUUCGGAAUUAUUGGGCGUAAAGGGCAUGUAGGCGGUUGUGUAAGCCUGGUGUGAAAUCCUGGGGCUUAACCCUAGAAUAGCAUUGGGUACUGCACGACUUGAAUUACGGAAGGGAAACUGGAAUUCCAAGUGUAGGGGUGGAAUCUGUAGAUAUUUGGAAGAACACCGGUGGCGAAGGCGGGUUUCUGGCCGAUAAUUGACGCUGAGAUGCGAAAGUGUGGGGAUCGAACA